GACUAUAGUUUCUAUAGCAAAGUUGGAUACCAGAUAUAGAUGGACAAGUUUCAUGCAAGGAGAUGGUCCUGUUGUUAUGUAAAGAUUGAGAGAUAAUGGAGCUGUAACGUCCUCUGUCAGAAAUAGUGAGGGCUGUUCAGUUAAGCUGAGACCGAGUGUUUGACUGUUUCUGCUAUAAUUUGGAACACCACAACUUCAAUUCUGAGUAGUUUCAGCUUUGGAGUGUUGUACCAAAGUGGAAGACCUAUGGUUGGAGAAUAAGGCUUGUUAAGGGAGAUGGGUCUGUUGUCAUAUGGAAUUGUGAGUAAAAUGCUCUCUAAUAUGCCUUGUCAGACUUAAAGGGUUGCAUUUGAGUUCAGCUCUCUGAAGAAGAGUUUCAGAGUGUGUGCUUGGCUUUGGAACCUUAUAGUUUGUGAUCCAUGUGUUUCUAGCAGUGGAAUGUUGUAGUGGGUUGAAGAGCUAUAGUCAAUGAGCAAGUUUCCUAUGAUUAAAUUAAGGUGUUGCUACAGGGAAAAUGUAAGGGAAUGACCUUGAAAGGCCCCUGUCAGUCCAGCUAAGCAACAGUAAUUCGUUUAGGACUGAAGACAGUUUCUGAAGAAGAUUAUCUCCUCUCCCUGCUGGUUUCUUUGGAUGUUUGGGUAGGGAUAAGGUCGAAGUCCAGAGCCAGGGAUCUAGUGGCCUCAGAUCUACUAAAAAAUAUCCAAAUUUUGACCUAUUUUGUGAGCAGUGAAUGAGAGGGGGUCCUCAUCUAAUGAAUCUUUAAUGGGGUAUGCUGGACAGCAGCAGUUCUAGUGGCUUCAUCCCUUUAGAAAUAUCAGUUUGGAUCCAUUUAAGUCUGCACACACUAGAAUUCUUAUCUGUUGGUUUACUGUCUACAGAAAGGGACAAAUCAGAUAUUUGGCUGCUAGAAGUGACCAAGUUCAGUUUUUCUUGCCGUGACCAACUUUGGAAUAGGAUGAAGAUUGGGAUGGUGUGCUGGCAAGGGUAUUCAGAUUGGUGCAUCCCUGAAAUAUCACCUGUGCAAAUAUCCUGUACAGUGCACCUCAUCCUUACCCCCUCUUUUCUUUUGCCCAUGGAUAAUCUCCACCCUGCGUAGCUAGGCUCUAUGUGUUGGCGUGGAUUUACUGGAGGAAGCCACGACUGCAUUUAGAGUUCAUAGCUGUCCUUGCUGCAAGUUCAAGCAUCCAACCCCUGUGAUCUUUUCCCUGCCUAUAUAAAGAGCAACUGGGGAGGGAAAGGUAGGAACCCAACCAGUGAUCCUUAGUUCACCAUCAACCAUGUUGAGCAGCCAUGAUUAGUAGUACUACACCCCCAAAUCAUACCCUAGACACACCUAAGUUCCAUCGAUCAAGGCACCAAACUUAUUUGAUGACCACCCCGGCAACACCUCGGCUUCACGUGGCCAGACGACUGUGAAAACGAAGAAGAGAGUGAAGUGACUGAAGAGAAGACGCCACCACCUUUGGAAUCUCAGGCAGGGACUUGGCUCUACUUCGACAUCUGCGGGUCCGAGCCUGACUCACCUACUAACGAAGGCAAGCCCCGGUGCAUGCAACCCUUUCCUUGUGUUUUUAAAUAAUUUUCGCACACUUUAAGUCUAAUGAAAUGUGCAUUAGGUUCAUAGGAGUUGCUUGGAACCCUUUGAUGCAUUGCUUUCCUUGAUAUCCAUACCUUUAUAGAUACUUCAGUGAAGUAUCAAAAUAUGAUUUACAAAAAUGCUUAGCCUUGCUCAGAUCUUGUGGAUAGAGGUUGUCCUUAGCCUAGCUCGAGAAAGGAUGACUUCUACCUGCAAGAAUAUUUUCAUUUGGAGCAAUGGUGGGAUCUUACUGUAAAGUUCCCUAUGAUGCUCUUCUCAUCCUAAGGAACAGAAACAAUCCUAAGGAUGGGAAUACUUAAAUUGAGACUUGGGUUAGGAACAGGUGAUGUUCUACCCAGGUUGAUUAAGGAUUGAACGUGUAUGUAGGCGUGCUGAUCGAGGACCCUUUAACUGGUCACAUGCCUCGUCAUGGGUAAGCCUUGCCUCGGGAAGACUAAGGCCAAAAUAAGAUAACACGAAAUGGGCGUGGAGCGGUGGCGAGAGUAGCGUGUACCCUCCGUGGCAAGAGGCUGGACGGUGGUGUAUCUGUGCUCUCGGUUUGCGUGAACCUGAUCUGGUCUUAAGAACCCCGGUGGCGGGUUGACAUAUGCAAGGGUUAAGUGCUACAUAUGUCGUGUGAUUGGAGAUCCUCAGCUGAGUAUAAUCGAUUCAGAUCGCCGUACCUUCGCGGUUAUGAAGACUUGGUCACUUCCCUACAACCUAAGUCAGGAUGUGAACAUUAUGAAUAAAAAUGAUGUUGUAUUGAUGAGAUGGUGAAAUUAGACUAGAUGCAAAUAGAGUCUAUUAAUACUUAAUAUGGUGUUAAAAUAUUGAAAGUAAGGACUCACUUUAGUAAGCUAUUUCUGCAAAAGUAUCUAAGUUGAUUUUUGCUAAAGCCUCUCCUUGAUUCCUAAUUAUCCAGCAUACCCUUGAGAGUCUUUUUCUUAGUCGGGUAAGACUUGGUGAGUAAUUCCAUACUCAGGGUUUAUCCCUCCGUUGUUUUUAGGUGAGGAAGCGACAAAUUUUUGUUGCUUUUGCUCCAAGGUGGUGUCAAAUGAAGAAAAACAAGAGUGAAGAUGCGGGAGGACGUGGUCCUCCAUAAGAACCUUUGUUUGAUAGUUAUCGGGAGGAGUUUUUGCCUCCCCUGGUAUGUGUAAUAAUACUACCCUGCACUCGUUUUAUAACUCUGGUCUGUAAUAAAUAACUUGAUCUUACUUUCUAAAUAAAUGUAAGUUUAUAUAAUUGCUUCCGCAUUUCUAUAUCUCCGAUGUUCUGUAAUGUCUGCAAGACGGGUGAAACGCUCUUGGGAAAGGUGAGAAAAGAAGAUACCGAACUUGUCAAGUGAUUCAGGAACAUCUACAGGGUUGUCUGAUGUCUGUUGGACAAGGACAACUGUAGGUGGGCCUAAUUACUUGGGAGGUUCCGUCACAGCUGGUAUCGGAGCGAAGCCCAUCUCUGCAGAUAUUAUGAGGCAUCUUCAAAAAGAAUUUUCUAAAGACUUAUCUAAAAAAUUUCUUCCCUUCUUACCUAAGUGUUUCUGAAGAGUUUAUUUUAAAGACCAGAUAGGAAGAGUGUAAUGCAUAGAAGGUUGAAUCAACUAAGGUUGAUUCUGUAAUUAUACAUGCAUCAUGCUAAGAACUAUGCUAAUAAAAGAUUUCCCCCUUAGAGAAAUGUUGUCGCACACUAUUCUUAGAGGACAACCAUGGUAUGAGUAGUAGUGCGUAUUCCAGAACGUGCUAGAAAACCAUCUUGGCCACAUUGGAUGUUCCAUUCUAAAGGAAUGACUCCUUGGGAAGGAGCUUAGGUAACUGCCUUAGAGGUGUUGAACAACAUCGUGGUUAAGUAAAACAAAACACCUCCCCUACCUUGUAAGAGAAAUUAGGAAAUAAGUCCGUGACACGUUUCCUUUUCCAUUACUAAGCCUAGACUUUUAAAUCUCGGGACGAGAUUUCUUUUUAGGGGGGAAGGUUGUAACACCUCUGGUGUUACGUAAACUAAAACUCCGACAUGUCAUCAUAAGCAUCUGCAUUAAUGUGCUUGUUACACUUAGAAUGCAUUCACUAGGUUAAUUUUUUUUCAAACAGUGUGAUGUUGUGUGUUGUUAGAGUUUAGUUUAAGGACUUGGCUUAAGCUAGACAAGAGUAGGUCAACUCUUGAGCAAAUAACAAAUUGACUUGGAAACUUCAAGUGCUAAAGGCAAGUCCUAGAGUUUAUGGCAACCUUGUUUUCAAAGGUAGAGCAAGUGGAAGAAACACUUGAAGAAAAUGAAGAACAUGUGAAACACUAAAACUAGCCCAAAAGAGGAAUUCAAAAUCUAGAAGUAAUUUGACAAAAGUCCAUAUAUCAAAGUUGUGGAGCUUGAAAAAGUGAAUGAAUUUCUUAUUUGGAGAUUCCCAUGUUGUGUGAAGAAAAUUGGAGUAAAUCAUCAAAGUUCAGUUUUGAGCUCAGAUUGGAAUUGCUGAAAAUAGUAGCAACUAGGAAGUUUUGGUCCUUUAUAACUUCUGAUCUAUAAACAUUUUGAAGGUAGUCAUUGUAAAAAAAUUAUAAAGCUAUGUGAGGAGUGUGACUUUGAUUGAGUAACCUAGCCUUAAAUCUAUAUGGAAUUUGGAGAAGAACUGGUCUAAAGUAGAGCUGCUGGAAAGUGUGGGGUUCAAACUUAAUAAAAUACAGUCUGAAUUUCAGUAUUUUGUGCAAACUUUGGGUUGUGGUAGAGUGGAAUCCAAAAGGGUUUAGCUAAGGGUCACUAUAUAGAAAUUGUAGAGGAACUAUUGAAGUACAAAAUUUGUUAAGCAACUUUGCCUUAAAAGUAUAUGCUACCAGCAGAAAAGGUGGUCCAAAGAAGUGUUGACAGACUCAUGGAAUUUCAGAUAGUGAAUAGUGAAGUGAGUGGAGUUUCAGUGUUGAGUAUGCUGUUUGGAGCUCAUUUGUGGCUAAACCAUAGAACUUUGGACUAUGGUGUUUAUAGAGAAGUUGAAGUCCAUAUGAUGGUGAACAAGUUUUAUUAAGUGAGUUUGACAUGACCCCAUGCAAAAUUUGGAGUAAAGCUUGCCUAAAAAUGGACUGUCAGUAUAUUGGUGACUUAGUGGUUCAGAGCUGAAACUCUGAAAAACAGCCAAUGAUGCUCUGUUUGGAGCUCAGUUGUGAUUAAUAUAUAUGGUUUUAGACCAAGAGUUGUAUAUCAAAAUGGAAGACCAUAUAUAGGAGAACAAAUUUCUUUAAGUGAGUUUGGUUUGGUGCUACACAGAAAAAGGAGUAAAAGUGGCUCAAAAUUGGACUGUCAGGCUGGUUCCAACUGCUUUGGGUUCAGUCUCUGAAACCUGAAUUUCAGUAUAGGAUGCUUAAUUUGGAGCUGUUUUGUGAUCAAUAUGAGUAGUUUUAGACUAUAGUUUCUAUAGAAAAGUUGGAUACCAGAUAUAGAUGGACAAGUUUCAUGCAAGGAGAUGGUCCUGUUGUUAUGUAAAGAUUGAGAGAUAAUGGAGCUGUAACGUCCUCUGUCAGAAAUAGUGAGGGCUGUUCAGUUAAGCUGAGACCGAGUGUUUGACUGUUUCUGCUAUAAUUUGGAACACCACAACUUCAAUUCUGAGUAGUUUCAGCUUUGGAGUGUUGUACCAAAGUGGAAGACCUAUGGUUGGAGAAUAAGGCUUGUUAAGGGAGAUGGGUCUGUUGUCAUAUGGAAUUGUGAGUAAAAUGCUCUCUAAUAUGCCUUGUCAGACUUAAAGGGUUGCAUUUGAGUUCAGCUCUCUGAAGAAGAGUUUCAGAGUGUGUGCUUGGCUUUGGAACCUUAUAGUUUGUGAUCCAUGUGUUUCUAGCAGUGGAAUGCUGUAGUGGGUUGAAGAGCUAUAGUCAAUGAGCAAGUUUCCUAUGAUUAAAUUAAGGUGUUGCUACAGGGAAAAUGUAAGGGAAUGACCUUGAAAGGCCCCUGUCAGUCCAGCUAAGCAACAGUAAUUCGUUUAGGACUGAAGACAGUUUCUGAAGAAGAUUAUCUCCUCUCCCUGCUGGUUUCUUUGGAUGUUUGGGUAGGUAUAAGGUCGAAGUCCAGAGCCAGGGAUCUAGUGGCCUCAGAUCUACUAAAAAAUAUCCAAAUUUUGACCUAUUUUGUGAGCAGUGAAUGAGAGGGGGUCCUCAUCUAAUGAAUCUUUAAUGGGGUAUGCUGGACAGCAGCAGUUCUAGUGGCUUCAUCCCUUUAGAAAUAUCAGUUUGGAUCCAUUUAAGUCUGCACACACUAGAAUUCUUAUCUGUUGGUUUACUAUCUACAGAAAGGGACAAAUCAGAUAUUUGGCUGCUAGAAGUGACCAAGUUCAGUUUUUCUUGCCGUGACCAACUUUGGAAUAGGAUGAAGAUUGGGAUGGUGUGCUGGCAAGGGUAUUCAGAUUGGUGCAUCCCUGAAAUAUCACCUGUGCAAAUAUCCUGUACAGUGCACCUCAUCCUUACCCCCUCUUUUCUUUUGCCCAUGGAUAAUCUCCACCCUGCGUAGCUAGGCUCUAUGUGUUGGCGUGGAUUUACUGGAGGAAGCCACGACUGCAUUUAGAGUUCAUAGCUGUCCUUGCUGCAAGUUCAAGCAUCCAACCCCUGUGAUCUUUUCCCUGCCUAUAUAAAGAGCAACUGGGGAGGGAAAGGUAGAAACCCAACCAGUGAUCCUUAGUUCACCAUCAACCAUGUUGAGCAGCCAUGAUUAGUAGUACUACACCCCCAAAUCAUACCCUAGACACACCCAAGUUCCAUCGAUCAAGGCACCAAACUUAUUUGAUGACCACCCCGGCAACACCUCGGCUUCACGUGGCCAGACGACUGUGAAAACGAAGAAGAGAGUGAAGUGACUGAAGAGAAGACACCACCACCUUUGGAAUCUCAGGCAGGGACUUGGCUCUACUUCGACAUCUGCGGGUCCGAGCCUGACUCACCUACUAACGAAGGCAAGCCCCGGUGCAUGCAACCCUUUCCUUGUGUUUUUAAAUAAUUUUCGCACACUUUAAGUCUAAUGAAAUGUGCAUUAGGUUCAUAGGAGUUGCUUGGAACCCUUUGAUGCAUUGCUUUCCUUGAUAUCCAUACCUUUAUAGAUACUUCAGUGAAGUAUCAAAAUAUGAUUUACAAAAAUGCUUAGCCUUGCUCAGAUCUUGUGGAUAGAGGUUGUCCUUAGCCUAGCUCGAGAAAGGAUGACUUCUACCUGCAAGAAUAUUUUCAUUUGGAGCAAUGGUGGGAUCUUACUGUAAAGUUCCCUAUGAUGCUCUUCUCAUCCUAAGGAACAGAAACAAUCCUAAGGAUGGGAAUACUUAAAUUGAGACUUGGGUUAGGAACAGGUGAUGUUCUACCCAGGUUGAUUAAGGAUUGAACGUGUAUGUAGGCGUGCUGAUCGAGGACCCUUUAACUGGUCACAUGCCUCGUCAUGGGUAAGCCUUGCCUCGGGAAGACUAAGGCCAGAAUAAGAUAACACGAAAUGGGCGUGGAGCGGUGGCGAGAGUAGCGUGUACCCUCCGUGGCAAGAGGCUGGACGGUGGUGUAUCUGUGCUCUCGGUUUGCGUGAACCUGAUCUGGUCUUAAGAACCCCGGUGGCGGGUUGACAUAUGCAAGGGUUAAGUGCUACAUAUGUCGUGUGAUUGGAGAUCCUCAGCUGAGUAUAAUCGAUUCAGAUCGCCGUACCUUCGCGGUUAUGAAGACUUGGUCACUUCCCUACAACCUAAGUCAGGAUGUGAACAUUAUGAAUAAAAAUGAUGUUGUAUUGAUGAGAUGGUGAAAUUAGACUAGAUGCAAAUAGAGUCAAUUAAUACUUAAUAUGGUGUUAAAAUAUUGAAAGUAAGGACUCACUUUAGUAAGCUAUUUCUGCAAAAGUAUCUAAGUUGAUUUUUGCUAAAGCCUCUCCUUGAUUCCUAAUUAUCCAGCAUACCCUUGAGAGUCUUUUCCUUAGUCGGGUAAGACUUGGUGAGUAAUUCCAUACUCAGGGUUUAUCCCUCCGUUGUUUUUAGGUGAGGAAGCGACAAAUUUUUGUUGCUUUUGCUCCAAGGUGGUGUCAAAUGAAGAAAAACAAGAGUGAAGAUGCGGGAGGACGUGGUCCUCCAUAAGAACCUUUGUUUGAUAGUUAUCGGGAGGAGUUUUUGCCUCCCCUGGUAUGUGUAAUAAUACUACCCUGCACUCGUUUUAUAACUCUGGUCUGUAAUAAAUAACUUGAUCUUACUUUCUAAAUAAAUGUAAGUUUAUAUAAUUGCUUCCGCAUUUCUAUAUCUCCGAUGUUCUGUAAUGUCUGCAAGACGGGUGAAACGCUCUUGGGAAAGGUGAGAAAAGAAGAUACCGAACUUGUCAAGUGAUUCAGGAACAUCUACAGGGUUGUCUGAUGUCUGUUGGACAAGGACAACUGUAGGUGGGCCUAAUUACUUGGGAGGUUCCGUCACA